rnacentral:piRNA from 1 species
UCUGUGAAAUGGGAUGCAACACAAGUU